CCUACGGGAGGCAGCAGUGGGGAAUAUUCCGCAAUGGGCGAAAGCCUGACGCAGCGACGCCGCGUGAGCGAUGAAGGUCUUCGGAUCGUAAAGCUCUGUCAGCAGGGAAGAACGGUCGCUGUGCUAAUCAGCAGUAAAUUGACGGUACCUGCAAAGAAAGCACCGGCUAACUCCGUGCCAGCAGCCGCGGUAAUACGGAGGGUGCAAGCGUUAAUCGGAAUUACUGGGCGUAAAGCGCUCGUAGGCGGUAUGUCAAGUCAGGGGUGAAAUCCCCGCGCUCAACGUGGGAACUGCCUUUGAAACUAGCAAACUGGAGUGUGUGAGAGGAUAGUGGAAUUCCAGGUGUAGGAGUGAAAUGCGUAGAUAUCUGGAGGAACAUCAGUGGCGAAGGCGACUAUCUGGCACAUAACUGACGCUGAGGAGCGAAAGCGUGGGUAGCAAACAGGAUUAGAUACCCGUGUAGUC
rnacentral:rRNA from 1 species